rnacentral:lncRNA from 12 species
UGUGUGUGGUGUGUGUAUGGUGUGUGUAUGGUGUUUGUAAGGUGUGUGUAUGGUGUGUGUAAGGUAUGUGUAUGGUGUGUGCGGUGUGUGUGUGGUGUGUGUAAGGUAUGUGUAUGGUGUGUGUACGGUGUGUGUGUGGUGUGUGUAAGGUGUGUGUACGGUGUGCGUAAGGUGUGGGAAAGGUGUGUGUACGGUGUGUGUAAGGUGUGUGUGCAGAGUGUGUAAGGUGUGUGUAAGGUGUGUGUGUGUGUGUACGGUGUGUGUAUGGUGUGUGUAAGGUGUGUGUAAGGUGUGUGUAAGGUGUGUGUGGUGUGUGUGUGCGGUGUGUGUGCAGUGUGUGUAAGGUGGGUGUGUGUACAGUGUGUGUGUGGUGUGUGUACGGUGUGUGUACGGUGUGUGUAAGGUGGGUGUGUAUACGGUGUGUGUAAGGUGUGUGUACAGUGUUUGUAAGGUGUGUGUAUGGUGUGUGUAAGGUAUGUGUAUGGUGUGUGCGGUGUGUGUGUGGUG